rnacentral:lncRNA from 1 species
UGGCCGUUCGCGUGGCCGUCUGUUUUAUCGAAGAUGGGAUCGUUCCAAGCCUUCCUAGCCACAAGUAAUGGUCCGUGAUGUGGGUAGUCAAAGGACUCCUCUUCCUCAUCAAAGAUAGGACCAAGAUCCUCCUUGUCUUCUUGUUCAUCCUCGGACUCAACUUCACCAUUUUCCAAGAGAAUCAUCACACGCUGGUUUGGACAGUUCUUGGCAUAAUGUCCUAGCCCUUGACAUUUGAAACAUCUAAUGUCUCUUGCUCGGCUUGAGUCGUCUACUGCUUUUCCUUUGUCAUCACGAGUGGAAACAUCAG